UGGCUGCCACCUCUGCAGCUGCCCUUUGGAGUAUUUCUCCAGAGUGCUGACUGUCAUUAGCAGUGCUGUGGCUUGGCUGUUCUCUGUGCCAACUGUGUUUGUGUCUGCCCUCCCUUUCCAUAGGAUGUCCUGGUGUGCUUGGUGCUUCACAGUGGCCUUUGGAGUGGAGCUUCCUGUUAACUGGCUACCACCUGCUGGACAUGGGCCAGGCUCAAAGUUGAAGGCAACCCUGUGUGGGCUGGCUAUAAGGGAAACAGUCACCCUUGGGAGGUAAUACUGACUCCAAUCCAGAAGACAGUCAUCAGUUAAGUAAAUAAAACAGGAACAGAACAUUGGUGCUUACAGUAGAUGGCUCUGAGGUCCAAGUGAAAGACAAUAUUUGCAAGCAAUUCAUUAGAUUUGACCAUCAAAACUCUGUUCCAGGCACACUCAGGCAUCAUGGAAAAUGAUACCUAUUGUGGAAUCCCUCACUUGCCGAUGAAUAAUCUAGACGAUCAGAAAUGUGGCACUAUUGUGGCUUUCAGGUAGAAAAACACCCUGAAUCCAGCUUCCUGCUGCAAAUGAGUACUGAGCUUGGGAUGGUGAAAACUGAUUUUCAAGAUAGUAACUAUGGCCAUAUUAUGAAUCAACUGUGUUCUGUUUAGGUGGUGGAAGCAAAGCUUACUUCUGAAAAUAACCUACAAAUAUAAUAUGUAAACAUAUGGAGCUUCAAGAUAGACUAAAACAUGCUACUAUGUUCUAUGGAUCAAAAUGCAAAGGUAUCUGUACAUAUAUUAAUUUUCAUUUUCAUUAAUUUGGGAUAUAUUGAUAGUACAUAACUAUGUGCUUACCUAUAUAGACCGUAAAACAAAUUUUGACAAUGUUUCUAAUGACAACAUACUUUCUAGCCCCAACUGCUAGGAAAAAAUAUGAAAAUGACUGCCUCUGUUUUUAUUUAUUUAUUUAUUUAACUUUAGGUGCAUACUAUAUCUGGCAUUUCUACCCAUGUUAUCCCCAUUGACUGUCUCUGUUUUUAAAUGGAAAAGUAAAACCAGCACUCCUCAUUGCAACAUGGACUGGCCUCUAAAAGGUUCAGAGUCAAAAACCUCUGAUUAUUCCCCAAUGUAAUAAAACACAUAAGCUUUCUCUCAGUGGUCAGGAAGUCUGAUCCUCUCUAGUGUUUUGUCUUUAAAAUUGCUUUCCAGGAUAGGGCUUCAGUAGUGGCUUAUGCCUGUAAUCCAGCACUUUGGGAGG